GGUUAAGUAGUAUAAUGGUUAUUGCUUUGGAUUGCAAAUCUGAAAAUGGCAGUUCGAUUCUGCCCUUAACCU
rnacentral:tRNA from 1 species